rnacentral:rRNA from 1 species
GACGAACGCUGGCGGCGUGCUUAACACAUGCAAGUCGAACGAUGAAGCCGGAGCUUGCUCUGGUGAAUUAGUGGCGAACGGGUGAGUAACACGUGAGUAACCUGCCCUUGACUCUGGGAUAACUGCGGGAAACUGUAGCUAAUACCGGAUACGAUCCUCGGAGGCAUCUCCUGGGGGUGGAAAGAAUUUCGGUCAGGGAUGGACUCGCGGCCUAUCAGCUAGUUGGUGGGGGAAAGGCUCACCAAGGCGACGACGGGUAGCCGGCCUGAGAGGGUGGCCGGCCACACUGGGACUGGGACACGGCCCAGACUCCUACGGGAGGCAGCAGUGGGGAAUAUUGCACAAUGGGCGCAAGCCUGAUUCAGCAACGCCGCGUGAGGGAUGACGGCCUUCGGGUUGUAAACCUCUUUUAGCAGGGAAGAAGCGGAAGUGACGGUACCUGCAGAAAAAGCACCGGCUAACUACGUGCCAGCCGCCGCCGUAA